CAUUCCAGAUCCCAUUCCGAUCCAGAUCCAAAGACGAUGAACCGCAACGGAGCAUAGGCCAUAAAACCUUCGAGGCGAACAAAAAUAUUUGAUUUGUGAUUAGGGCGCUGCAAUAAAAGGCAAAUGUUUGACUAGAGUGCACUCACUUGCACUUUCCACACAGAUUAACCGAGCAAGUAUCAUAGUGCAACUUGGUCUGGGUUGGGGUUCACUAACUGCCAUCUAUCAUCUAUCAGUGCCCCCAGCUAAAUGCAACAUGAGACCGGCUGUCAAUGAUGAUGAUUAUGAUGCCAUUGCCCAUUAGAGAUCGUCGUCUGCCUGCCACACGCUCAACUUGAGCUGCGAUCGCCUCCAUCUUCAUCUGCAUCUGCAUUCGUAUCUGCAUCUCCGACUGAACUGCGUCUCAGAUUCCAGCUCCGCCGGGCUUUGUGGUUUCCAAGUUUCAGAUGAAAUGGAAUCAAAGCUGCAGCUCUGAAAUCGUCAUAUGAAAUGCAUUCGAGCGGGGUAAUUUGCAAUUUUAUGCGUUUUACACGCGUUGCCUCACUCUAUUCAAAUAUGUAUCUAUGGCAGGCAUAUCUGCCAGAUACAUUUUCAAGCAGCAGAACCUGGAGCUUGUGGUCAUUUGGUAUCGAAUAACUUGUAGAAAAUACCUUUUGGCCUGACACUUUGAUUGUGUAAUGCGGAGUUUAAAAACGAAGGUCUAAUAAAAUGGUGGUAUUUAUUCUUAUAGCAUUAAUAAAGAAAAACUCUUUAUCUCAACUACGAUCCUUCUACAGUGUUCGGAUCAAAAGAUUUUUGGUUUGGCUAUAAGGACACACCCCCAACCGGAUACUGUGAACAAUCCUUGCAGGAUACUGUCGACUAAACUGGCUUAUCACCUUGCCGCCAUCAUUGGAGUGCAGGGAAAUUACUUUCAAUUAUUGGACUGGCUAUCGCAAGGACCCGCUUACGACCCAGGCAGAUGUUUUCAAUCCUCCGGACAGAGGCGUCAGGCAAUCGAGCCGAAAACCUGUAUGGAAUGCAGCUCCAUCAAGCAUCGACCUGAUCUUCCUUGGGCUAACGAACUGAGGCGCAGACCGAUGAGCGCGCCAAAUCGAGGACGACGCCUGUAAUAACAUGAAAAGGACACCCAGACCCAUAAAUAUAUAGUAUCUACCAAGACGA